CCGGUCCUCUAGGUCAGUCGUGCCUUCCUCGUGUCAAUAAUAAAGAGUUCAAGUUAAAGUAUAUGAAUUACUAACCUUGGGUGCUGCAGUGACAUCCUGCAGGGACAGCUGACUGAUACAUAGUACCAGGCAUACCCACGUCACGAAGUUCAUAGCUUCCAGGACUGGUGAAAACUGAUGAGUGUAUCAGACUCUAUGCAGGUCGGAUAUCACAGCUCAGAAUCUGACCUCAUCAAUCUGAAGAUGUAGACCCUAAUGAUUCGAGAAACGUUGGCAGAAUCCUGAAAUCAAAUGCGGUACCUAUUCGCAAGUCAAUCGGACCAUUCAUAAAUUAAACAAUAAUAAUGUCACCGCCUCAUCAUCAUAACAAAAUAUAUUUGACGGUAGGUAGACAUAACAAGUUUGCUAACAAUCAGAAAUUAAUAAAUACUAAACAAUAAAAUGGAAAGUGAUAUAAAGUAAAAAUAGGAACAAAUUCUUGUCAUCGGCACCAGACCUGUGGUGACGUAAAAUCAUCCGGGAAUUAAAUAACAGUAGAGAAUAAUAUAAUAUAAAAUAAUAAUAAUAAUAAUAAUAAUAAUAAUAAUAAUAAAGAGGUUACAGCCUCGUUAACAAUCAUCAAUCAGCUAUUUGGCGGUUGUAAAUCAAUAAAAAUGGUAAUAAUAUUUAAAAUGAGAUCUUUUAAAAAUUAUGUAGAAAUUGCAUAAUUUUUAAAUGAGAAUCCAGAUCCGUUAGAAAUUAAAAAACAAAAGAUCCGGUAAAAAUGACGGAACAAGUUAUGUAAUUAUUACGGAGUGUUCCGUACUUUUGACUGCACUCUUCGUAAUUGUUAUCGGGCCUUCGUUCUCACUCGGGAAUUACGGAACUUUUAUGUAAUCGUUAUUAAACUAUUCCUCUUUGUGCUGGAUAUUCGAAUAAACGAAAAUUUGAGAUCCCCCUCGUGGACAAACUGCAAGGCCAUUUAACAACAACGUAAUGAAAAGAAACAUUUAGAUGCAUUAGCGAUUAGAACGAUAAUCUAAAUGUGAUUUCUUUUAAUAAUCAUUAACGUGAUAUUAAAGAAUCGUUUGUGCCCACAUUUUUUUUAACUCUGGGGGUAAUGAGAAUUUAAUGGGUUUUCAAGACGACGAUGUUUGCUUUUGCCUUUGCCUAUUGCCUUUUAUCAAUAAGAAUGAAUAUGCGGCACGCUGUGCACAAGUCCUAGAGUAUAUCAAUUUUUAGGUAUUUUUCAUGUAAAUAACGCGUUAGUGAUAGAUUGGUAGAUUCCUAACCGGUUCUGGUCGGAAAAAACUGCGGGAAUUUAGGGUCACAAGUCACAUGUUAAUUAUUUUGACUUGGAAAAUCGAGAAGCUUCUAAUGGUUAUGAGAAUUAGUUUAAAAAUUGGAACAUCUCUUCCAGGUCAAUCCAAAAAGUUUCAGAUUUCCAUCACAUUUUUCAGCCCAGGCAUAUUUUCUUUCAACAGGAUUUGUCAUAAAAGGGACUUUGUUAAUUUCAAAGGUCCUCAUAUUACCUCAUACAGAAGUUCCCUCAAUCGAUCCAACAUUUCAUAGUUUCUUGGGGACCUUAUUAAAAACAAAACUGAUUUCAAUUUUUAUCAUUUUUUUUUCGAAGUAAUACCCCACUUUUCUUGAUGAAUUUAGUAUUAAUUAUGUCGCCGUGAAAUGCCGCGAGUAAGUUGACCGCCUUGAGACUAAAUUUGCCAUUAAUUCAAAAGGCAAAAACGCAUCAGAAUUAAUUUCAGACCGAUAAAUGAUACAUUGAUUCACGGAGCGUAAUUUCUAAGAAAACCUAAGCGACGGCUAAACAAAAAUAUUCAUUGACUUGAGAGAAGUAGUUUUCGGCCAUCAGAACUGACCGAAGGGUCACCUGGUGGAGCGCAAAACUCAACGUCCUCCGCUCCAGAUCCUGUAAGCUCUGGAACAGAGCCAAAUGGGCACACAAGGAGCAGGACCUGCACGCGUACCGUCAGUGCUUAAAGAUGUAGAAGAAGAUCUUGGGCUUUAAAGCACGCGCAUGGUCACGCUUCUGCGCAGAACUGGACACUCACCCGGAGGUGGCCAGUCUGCGUAAACUGUUGUGUUUCAGCGUGUAUUGAAAGGCGAAUUCCCUGAUGGGGAGGUUGAAUUUUCUCAAGCUAGUUUGGGUUCCGGGCCACCCCUAACAGGAGAUGAGGAAGGGCCGACAGUCAGCC